CAAUAGCGUAUAUUAAAGUUGUUGCGGUUAAAAAGCUCGUAGUUGGAUUUCUGCCGAGGACGUCCGGUCCGCCCUCUGGGUGUGUACAUGGUACGGCCUGGGCAUCUUCUUGGAAAACGUAUCUGCACUUGACUGUGUGGUGCGGUAUCCAGGACUUUUACUUUGAGGAAAUUAGAGUGUUUCAAGCAGGCCUACGCCUUGAAUACAUUAGCAUGGAAUAAUAAGAUAGGACCUCGGUUCUAUUUUGUUGGUUUCUAGAGCUGAGGUAAUGAUUAAUAGGGAUAGUUGGGGGCAUUCGUAUUUAACUGUCAGAGGUGAAGUUCUUGGAUUUGUUAAAGACGGACUACUGCGAAAGCAUUUGCCAAGGAUGUUUUCAUUGA
rnacentral:rRNA from 1 species